UUUAUCGAGAUUAUAUAUAUAUAUAUAUAUAUAUAUAUAUAUAUAUAAUUAGGAUUUACGAUUUUUGUAAUUGUCGAUCGCCCCCCGCUUUCGUUAUGCAUACACUCUCUCCGAUCAGUCAUCAUCGGCUCUAAAAAGCUGCUUCGCAAUUGGAAGUGCGAACGGGGCCGACACUGUGGAACUUCGUUGUCGCAAGGAUCGGGAUUGGGCGUGCAUGGUUGAAAGCCGAAGCGGUAGAUUUAUCAUUUCAACCCAAAGUAAACGGACCGUAAAGAAUGGACGCCUGAGGGAGUGGCCGCCGUUCCUGCUGCUGCCGCUACAUGAGAGGAGCGGCCUCUCUAGGGUUUUGUUUCUUCCCUUGAGGAGAAGAUGCGACACAAGGAGGGAGGGCCUUCGAUGUCGCUCUCGACUCUUCUUAGAGCUGCGACGUCCGUGCUCGGUGGGUCGCGCGACCGCUUCCCCCUCCGACUCCUCCAUGGUUCGUUUCUUCAGGCCUUACUCUCCUCCUUCCACCUUCUUCGGUUUCGAUUUCACGUGGACUUGAAUUGGAUAUUCGUUUGCGAGUUUCCGGUCUAUUUGUUAGCCAUGUUUUUUUCGCUAUUUAGGGUUCUUAUCAAGAUUCGGUUUUUGUUGGCUUCUGUUGAUGAAAAUAAUGGCAAGUAACUUUCUUUUGCUUUCCAAGAUUCCUCUUUCUUGUGGUUGCGGUGGUUGGUGAACCACGGAUUUCGUGUUUUUUCAGUAAAGACAAAAAUCGGCACAAAUGUUGUUUCCUUGUAAAUCUUCCUCGUGUCCCUUGUCGGCUUGGUCACUUCUCAUGGGCGUGACUGAAGUCAACCUAUUCACCGCGUCAAUUAUUUGUUCCCAUACAUUCCUUUUAUUUCUAAGUGAGUACCGAAGGAAUGGAAUAUGGAACCAUUGACAUUGCCGAGUCUGACUGCUGAUGAUGAAGUGACAGACUUUGAUGUGCACAUGGUUAAUAGAAUACUCUUCUUGUAGUGACUGUAAAGGCCACGCUGCAAGAUCUUAAGCUGCAUUGCGGUAACAUUCCUGCUUAUCUGAGAUCUGCCAAUUUUAAGAUUCAAUUGGGAAUUGCUUAUUUGAUAUUUUAUGAUUGCUGCUUCCUUUUUAUUUGGUAUGACUGAUUCUUGGUUGCAUAAAAUCGUAUAGUAAUUUGCCAAUAAGAUUGUGUGUCACUUGAUCAUGUCAUGACUGAAUCAGAAAUCAUGUGUGGACCUCAAGCAGCUUGUAAUACUCAUAGUAGGUGGGUUAACCAGGCAGCUUUUAGGAUAUAUCAUCCACUAAAUUAAUUAUUUUUUACAAACUCUAUAAUUGAGUUGCAUCCUUUAUUUUUUGGGUGAAAUUUCGUACAACGAAACAAAUCAUAGUUCACAUUUAGGGAAUAUCUUGAUCGUACUCAAAAUAUUUGUCUUGCUGACUGUUUGUUUUAUGUUUUGAAUGGAUAUUGCAUUUAUUACUGGAAGCCUACUGCUACAGAGAUAUUUUUCUGCCUUGAUGAUUUAGCCAAUUAUCUUGGUCUUGAUAAUUUUCAAAAAUGGGAAACGUCUUUGCAAAUGGAAAAUAGCUGGUUUUUAUUUGUAUGAUUAUGAGGACUUUGAAGAUUUUGAUUCUAGAAGGAUUUCUUAGUAGUUCAGGUUGGGUCAAAAACUAGUCUGAUUUUGCAUGUGGAAGUAUUCGAUUGGUUAGUAUGCCUACCAACAAAGGUCAAUAGCUCAGAUAUAUGGAUAUCUUAUUCCGCCAUGGUUCUUUAUUAAACUGCAGAUAGAUAAUCAGUGGAACCAUAACCCAUCUUUCUUGAAUAAAGAAGUAGUCAUCUUGUGCAUAUAGAUGUUAGUCCACUUAAUUUCUUAAAAAACAUGGUGUGAAUCCUUGUUAUAUUAUUUUUCUUCCUUUUAAGUGCUUUGUCUAAUACGCUACUUUUAUUUUUUGGUCAUUUUUUAGCGUUGCUAGUCCUUUCAUUUUUCCUCUAAUAAUUUUCAUAUCCUUUUCUGUACGCAUAUAUAUUUUCAGUAUGAUUCAAUACAUGGAGUCUUCCCUUAUUCAAUAAAUUGUGAACUCGUGUUGCAUGUUCUGGUGGUCUCUGCAUUAUAAGCUUUUCUUUUAGUUCUCUAUUUCCUGUAUUAGUUGUGGGAGUCGAAUUCGCAAAUAAAUAUAUUGGAUUUUUUGUUCUUUUAAUUUGAGUUAAGAUAUAGGACAUUGUUUAUGUGGAUCUAAUAGGAAGUUUUAGGCCCAUGACAGUUCACUUCUUAUUUAACUUGCGCAUGAAUACAUGUGGUUCCGAAUGACAGAUGAAUGAAUGGUCUUUUUUUACCAAAGAUCCAGCUGAGAUCCCAUGGAUUGAUUUUGGAGGUGAAUACAUUGUUGAAUCUUCUGGUGUUUUCACAACAACAGAAAAGGUAUGCUUUCACUUGAAGGCGUGCUGCACCUUUUUGACAUCCUAAUUUUCCAUAAUUCUGCUUGGUGCAAAAAAGAUGGCAAUAUCAACUCCAUCUGCUGGGACUCCUCUGUUUGUGGUUGGUGUAAAUGUGAAGGCACAGGAACCGAGCAUCGAGUGGUGUCUCUAAUGCAAGCUUCACAACCAUAUUCGCAAAUUGCGGAGGUGAUGGACCUCAUCUGAUACCAUCGGAGCUGUCAUGGAUUCGUUUGUGUUGUCGAUCAGGUAAAAAAAGAAGUCAGUCGAAUAAUUAUGUGGCUCGAGGAGCGAGCCGGAAAGGUAAAAAGCAGUGGAUGAAAAGCCAAUCACUUCUCUCUCAAAAGAAAUCUCCCCCAACCCAUCAGGAUCGAUGAGUCCCAUCUUUUCCAGAACGAGUACAGUACACCAUCGCAUGCAGCAGGUACCAAAAUCUCUGCCUUGCUAUCGAGCGACGGUUACUAGUGGAGUACCCAACUGGGAUGGGCUGUCCCCAACUCAAGAGUAAAAGAAGAGGGAUGGAGGAGGAGGAGGAGGAGCAGCAUGUGAACCUCUGCAUUUGGAGGUCAGACAAGAUGGUCCUGCAAGAAAAAGUCAAGGGGAGAAAUAGUUGCAGGACAGCAACCCCUCGGUGCAUGCUAUUCAUCCAUCGCACGACAUUUGAGGAGGAGAGGGGAGAGGUGGGAGGUCGGUAAAAAAGAAGAAGAAAGGAGAGAAAAAUGUUUUGUCUUGGCGAUGAGUAGGUUGAAGCAAAGAUCAUGUUGUAGAGAAAUGAAUGCACAUCAGCAUUAAUAUCCGGUGUCGGUAGGUAGGUAGGUAGUGGGGGAAAGUCUAUAUUCUUUGCGACGACAACAUCAUCAUCGUCGUCAGCGUCUUUUACAAGCAUAUCAAGAACAGGGAUCUGGACAUCGCAUGUGAGACAUGAUCGCUUGCUUCCGGUUGCAGAUUCAUGAAUCCUCAAGUUUUAGGAAGAGAAGCCUCAUCCGCGAGCAGUGUGAUACAGUGAGAUGACUGUGCUACACGAAGCAUCGCAUGCCGAGGAGGAUCCGAGCACCGAGUCACAAGGAUACGGCACUGUCGCUGACCCGCUGCGGUACUUGGCCUUUGGUCGACAAGCAGAGAUGUGCCUGUGCACACGCACACGCACACGCACAGUGAAGUCCUCGAGGUAAAAGAGACGGAGAACUUUGUUGUUGGGUCAGCUCGGCUCGAGUAUGAACUUUCGCCCUUGGAGGGAGGGCAUCGCAGCAGAGUUAAAAACCAGGGUGAACAUCAUCAUCAUCAUCAUCAUCAUCUUCAUCAUCAUCCGGUCGCGUUGCAGAAGUGUUCAGAAAAGUCCACACAGAAUUGGUUUGUAGGGCACAAGUGCAUGUGAAAGACCUCUGUCCCAUCCAUGAACAUGCACAGAAUUCUUUUUUC